UUAAUUGUUUCAUACGUGUCUGUGAUCAGCGCAAUGAAAAGGCUGAGAAUCAUGUAUAUGAAGAGGCUGAUGAAGGAGUAGAGGUAGAUUCGGCUGAACAGCCACACCAGGUGAGUUUGACUGGCUUCACUUUAGAGGGUGUGAACAGGAAUGAAACCUGCUACUCCUGAGCCUAGGCCACAUGACACGGGAGAGCUGCCCCCAGCUGGGGUUUUCACUUCCCACGGGCUGUAGCCAGUUCAUGAGGCAACCCUGUGUCGAUCAUGAAGUCAGGACGAGCUCUUAACUUCUGACAAAGAACAAAUGAAGAGACUUCAGGUCCCUGAAUGACUGCACGGAGCUGAACAACCUGCCAAUGUAGAGCCCCACCCUAACUGUCUCAGGAAAGAGAACAAGCUGCCCUUUGACCCUGCCCCUGUGUUGUGAGUCUGCCUACGUUUAUAACCAGCUUCCUAGAUGAUGUGCAGUUAAUUACAGCAAGAAAGUAUAAAGUUGAGCAAGAUUCAUUUGAA